ensembl:lncRNA LINC03000 long intergenic non-protein coding RNA 3000
AGGUAAAAUGCCAGAGAUCACUCAUGUAAGAAGGGAAUUGAAGCACCUUGAAAAGGAUAAGAAAACUUCAACAUUACAACGAUGUUUCAUAUCAUUAGGCUCAAAUUAAGUAAAUAACAGAAUCCUAAGCUGAUGACACAUCCUGGGUUUGCACUAAUCAUAAUUUGCAAUCUCCAUCAUUGUCAUCAGAACCUUUUUGCCUAGCAACAUUCCUGCUGCUGCUUCUGUUCCGACCCUCUGGGUGCAACUGAAGGAGGAGGCAGUCAAAAGGAAAAACACAAAUAUCUCCAAGAUGGCACUUACAAAAAGCAACAACAAUGACAAAGUAUAAAUACAAACACACACCUUGAAGUUUAUGUUCUUACUCAAAUGCAAGCAUCAACAAUGGCCUACUGUCAGCAAGUUAAAUGGCUGGGGCUGUUUCAGUCUCCCAUUACAUGAAGCACAGAAUCUUCUGGAGAGGAAAGAAGAAACCAUGUCUAGACAAGGUGCUGGAAAGACCCAGGGAAGACACAGGCUUUGGUAUCAGGAUGAUGCUGGCCUCACAAAAUGAGUUAGGGAGGAUUCCCUCUUUUUCUAUUGAUUGGAAUAGUUUCAGAAGGAAUGGUACCAGCUCCUCCUUGUACCUCUGGUAGAAUUCGGCUGUGAAUCCAUCUGGUCCUGGACUUUUUUUGGUUGGUAAGCUAUUAAUUAUUGCCUCAAUUUCGGAGCCUGUUAUUGGUCUAUUCAGAGAUUCAACUUCUUCCUGGUUUGGCCUUGGGAGGGUGUAUGUGUCGAGGAAUUUAUCCAUUUCUUCUAGAUUUUCUAGUUUAUUUGCGUAGAGGUGUUUAUAGUAUUCUCUGAUGGUAGUUUGUAUUUCCGUGGGAUCAGUAGUGAUAUCCCCUUUAUCUUUUUUUGUUGCGUCUAUUUGAUUCUUCUCUCUUUUCUUCUUUAUUAGUCUUGCUAGCGGUCUGUCAAUUUUGUUGAUCUUUUCAAAAAACCAGCUCCUGGAUUCAUGGAUUUUUUGAAGGGUUUUUUGUGUCUCUAUCUCCUUCAGUUCUGCUCUGAUCUUAGUUAUUUCUUGCCUUCUGCUAGCUUUUGAAUGUGUUUGCUCUUGCUUCUCUAGUUCUUUUAAUUGUGAUGUUAGGGUGUCAAUUUUAAAUCUUUCCUGCUUUCUCUUGUGGGCAUUUAGUGCUAUAAAUUUCCCUCUACACACUGCUUUGAAUGUGUCCCCGAGAUUCUGGUAUGUUGUGUCUUUGUUCUCGUUGGUUUCAAAGAACAUCUUUAUUUCUGCCUUCAUUUCGUGAUGUACCCAGUAGUUAUUCAGGAGCAGGUUGUUCCGUUUCCAUGUAGUUCAGUGAUUUUGAACAAUUCUUUCACUUAAAAAAAAAUGAAGACACAACAAAUAUGACAUAAUGAGACCAAUCAUGAAUUACGGUUGGUGAUAGGUGGAGUUUUGCUAAGUUAGUCUCUGUAGUUUUCAGUUUUCUUUUUAUCUCUCAAAAUGCUCAAUUGAAAGAGUAAUAGGACAUGGAAGCAUUUAUUUAAUAAAUAAUUUCAACUAAA